rnacentral:sRNA from 1 species
UCAACUGUGCUUACUAAUGGUUUAAACUAAUCCAGAGUUUUUCAAAUCACUAAUGUGUUUUAUGUAACAAUAAUAAUCAAAUAGUUUUAACGAUAUGUUUAGAAGCACUUUAGUAUAUUUGAUACACAUUUUGAUACACAUUUUCAGGUCCCAGAAUUAUGGGCCAGAAACGCUUAUCCUUCGUUAGUCUUUAGCAUCUUGGGUUAAAGACCUGAUAAUGAGAUGUUGUUUUAGUGACUAUUGGAUCAAUAAUGGACCUCCUAAGUCUUUUUGGUUGUCUGGCUUCUUCUUUCCACAAGGAUGAGUUUUGAUCUUCCCAUUUAUGAUCACCUUGAUUUUAGGCAACUGCAGAUGAUUGCUGUUACAAAGCUAAAGUGUCAAAACCAUGUCAGGAAUAUAAAAAGUACUUUAAAAAAAUAAUAGCAUUACUUAUUUUGAAUCAAUAAUCUAAUUAAUUUUUAACAGAGCUAGACUAAUAAUAAUAAAGUUGUGCAAUGGGAAAUACUUUAAUUAGUUGUUUAUGUUUAUUACCACUUUAAUGCUAAUAGCUUGCUCAUUGCACUAUGGUCCAAUAAGUUUCUGUUGGGGAAGGGGGUUGAAUCUGGGAGAAAGUUUUGGUGCUGCCCUUUCAAAACAAUUUUUUUUUUUUUUUAAAGUAAGAAAGUUGCUUGAUUCUGUAUUUGAAAUGGAGGGCUCAAGUAUCUAGGAUGGAAGGCUAAUGUACUAGUCACUGAGCUGUUCAAGUACUGA